UCGUAUACCUCCUUUGACCAAGGAGCUGGCGCAAUGCGCCCGUCUUACAACCGGGAACAAACCGAGAUUCCUUCAAACAAUCUACUUGAUGCUGCGGCGGGACCGCCCAUUUAAUUAUUAUCAUCAUCCGUGCGCUGAAGGUUUGGCAGCGAUCCAGGGGACGGUGGGGACCGGUCAGGCCAAGCCCGCAGCCUGACUUUAAACUCAAUGCCGAAUUGGCCCCCCUAAAACAUUUCCUGUUCAUGGGCACACACGGCAAUUCAGAAGCGGCGGAUAGUUAAACCGAAAUGACGCAGGGGAAAAUAGCACACUUCUGUCUGAAUAUAUCUCAGCCAGGGGGUGAUUCCGAAGAAACUCCCAGGUGAUUUCCAAAAUUGAAACUACAAGUAUUCCUAAUGGGGAAUAGGGCCUGGUCACCUUGAGUCUGUUCUGAAUUCAAGGUUCGCAGUAUGCGGGUGCAUCCUGAUCUAUUUAUACACAACGCCC
rnacentral:sRNA from 2 species